GGGCCGGUAGUCUAGCUCGGUUAGGAUGUCGCCCUUACACGGCGAAGGUCGAUGGUUCAAAUCCGUCCCGGCCCA
rnacentral:tRNA from 1 species